UUGAACGCUGGCGGCAUGCUUUACACAUGCAAGUCGAACGGCAGCGCGGGCUUCGGCCUGGCGGCGAGUGGCGAACGGGUGAGUAAUACAUCGGAACGUGCCCAGUAGUGGGGGAUAGCUCGGCGAAAGCCGGAUUAAUACCGCAUACGACCUGAGGGUGAAAGCGGGGGAUCUUCGGACCUCGCGCUAUUGGAGCGGCCGAUGGCAGAUUAGCUAGUUGGUGGGGUAAAGGCCUACCAAGGCGACGAUCUGUAGCUGGUCUGAGAGGACGACCAGCCACACUGGGACUGAGACACGGCCCAGACUCCUACGGGAGGCAGCAGUGGGGAAUUUUGGACAAAGGACGAAAGCCUGAUCCAGCAAUGCCGCGUGUGUGAUGAAGGCCUUCGGGUUGUAAAGCACUUUUGGCGGGAACGAAAAGGACUGUGCCAAUACCACGGUUCGAUGACGGUACCCGCAGAAUAAGCACCGGCUAACUACGUG
rnacentral:rRNA from 1 species